CCUACGUGAGGCUGCAGUGGGGAAUAUUGGGCCAUGGGCGCAAGCCUGACCCAGCAACGCCGCGUGAAGGAAGACGGCUUUCGGGUUGUAAACUUCUUUUCUCAGGGACGAAGAAAGUGACGGUACCUGAGGAAUAAGCCACGGCUAACUACGUGCCAGCAGCCGCGGUACUACGUAGGUGGAAAGCGUUAUCCGGAUUUAUUGGGUUUAAAGGGGGCGUAGGCGGGAUGUAAAGUCCGUGGUAAAAGCCCGGGGCUCAACCCCGGCGAGCCGUUGAAACUGGCUGUCGUGAGAGGUCGAGGGGUAUGCGGAAUGCGGAGUGUAGCGGGGAAAUGCUUAGAUAUUGCGCAGAACUCCGAGUGCGAAGGCAGCAUACCGGCGGCUAUCUGACGCUGAGGCACGAAAGCGUGGGUAUCGAACAGGAUUAGAUACCCUUGUAGUC
rnacentral:rRNA from 1 species